GGCAAAUGAUGUUUUAGUUGAUUUAUUGAGAUCUCAAUUGUCUUUUGGAGGAGGACUUUUAUGUGAUGGCAAAUUUUUCCACCUUCGAUGUUGUGCUCAUAUCCUUAAUUUGAUGGUGCAAGAAGGGCUUAAGGAUAUAGAUGAAGCUAUUCAAAAAAUUUGUGAAACAUAAAAUAUGUCAAAGGAUCACAAAGUAAAAAGCAAAAAUUUUUGGAGUGUGUCACUCAUUCCUCUCUUGAUUCUAAAAGAGGCUUGAGACAAGAUGUUCCCACUAGAUGGAAUGCAACAUUCAUUAUGCUUGACAAUGCACUUUAUUAUCGUUGUGCCUUUAUGCACCUUGAAUUAAGUGACU
rnacentral:misc_RNA from 1 species